UUUCCGUAGGUGAACCUGCGGAAGGAUCAUUAAUGUAACCGGACCGUUCCUUUGCCGUAAAACGCACUGGAUUGGAAAGGGAGAUAUCAUACACCCUAUGUUUAUUUACUUUUGUUGCUUUGGUGGGCCGUCCUUUACGGCGUCGGCCUCGGCUGAUCGCGCCCGCCAGAGGACCCAAACUCUUUUAUUAGUGAUGUCUGAGUACUAUAUAAUAGUUAAAGCUUUCAACAACGGAUCUCUUGGUUCUG
rnacentral:misc_RNA from 1 species